rnacentral:rRNA from 1 species
UGCGUAGGCGGCUUUGCAAGUUAGAUGUGAAAUCUAUGGGCUCAACCCAUAAACUGCAUUUGAAACUGUAGGGCUUGAGUGAAGUAGAGGCAGGCGGAAUUCCCCGUGUAGCGGUGAAAUGCGUAGAGAUGGGGAGGAACACCAGUGGCGAAGGCGGCCUGCUGGGCUUUAACUGACGCUGAGGCACGAAAGCGUGGUAGCAAACA